rnacentral:rRNA from 1 species
GGGGAAUAUUGCACAAUGGGCGGAAGCCUGAUGCAGCAACGCCGCGUGCGGGAUGACGGCCUUCGGGUUGUAAACCGCUUUCAUCCAUGACGAAGCGCAAGUGACGGUAGUGGGAGAAGAAGCACCGGCUAACUACGUGCCAGCAGCCGCGGUGAUACGUAGGGUGCGAGCGUUGUCCGGAAUUAUUGGGCGUAAAGAGCUUGUAGGCGGUUGAUCACGUCGGAAGUGAAAUUCCAGGGCUUAACUCUGGGCUUGCUUUCGAUACGGGUUGACUUGAGGAAUGUAGGGGAGAAUGGAACUCUCGGUGGAGCGGUGGAAUGCGCAGAUAUCGGGAAGAACACCAGUGGCGAAGGCGGUUCUCUGGACAUUUCCUGACGCUGAGAAGCGAAAGCGUGGGGAGCAAAC